rnacentral:tRNA from 1 species
GGGCGAGUGGCGGAACUGGUAGACGCGCACGACUCAAAAUCGUGUUCCUUCGGAGUGAGAGUUCGAGUCUCUCCUUGCCCACCA